UAUUGGGCGUAAAGAGCUCGUAGGCGGCUUGUCACGUCGGAUGUGAAAGCCCGGGGCUUAACCCCGGGUCUGCAUUCGAUACGGGCAGGCUAGAGUUCGGUAGGGGAGAUCGGAAUUCCUGGUGUAGCGGUGAAAUGCGCAGAUAUCAGGAGGAACACCGGUGGCGAAGGCGGAUCUCUGGGCCGAUACUGACGCUGAGGAGCGAAAGCGUGGGGAGCGAACAGGAUUAGAUACCCUGGUAGUCCACGCCGUAAACGUUGGGAACUAGGUGUGGGCGACAUUCCACGUCGUCCGUGCCGCAGCUAACGCAUUAAGUUCCCCGCCUGGGGAGUACGGCCGCAAGGCUAAAACUCAAAG
rnacentral:rRNA from 1 species